UACGGAGGAUGCGAGCGUUAUCCGGAUUUAUUGGGUUUAAAGGGUGCGUAGGCGGAGUGUCAAGUCAGCGGUAAAAUUUCGGGGCUCAACCUCGUCGUGCCGUUGAAACUGACACCCUUGAGUGAGUGAGAAGUAAGCGGAAUGCGUGGUGUAGCGGUGAAAUGCGUAGAUAUCGGGAGGAACACCAGUGGCGAAGGCGGUUUACUGGACCACAACUGACGCUGAGACACGAAAGCGUGGGGAGCAAACAGG
rnacentral:rRNA from 1 species